UCCAUCUUCAAGCCUUAAAAAGUAUUCUUUU
rnacentral:piRNA from 1 species